rnacentral:lncRNA from 1 species
UUCAUUCCACCUACCAAAAGACGAGUGGUACAACUUGUACAUGUGAACUCCUAGCAUUCACAAAUAAUAAAAAACCCUUAAGCUUGACAACUCAACUAAGGGAGCAAUUAUGCCCAACAAGAGUUGUAGUCACCAACAAAGUCUUAUUGCAAGCUAACAACAACUUCAGUGUAUGGCAUACGAAAAUCCAGCUAUUCAGCCCUCUUGCAUCUGCUUUAGACAUUUCUCCUUUGUAACAAUGCAAACACUACAACUCGUAGAAAGCUUCACAUACUCUUGAUCAAGACAGUGUGAAGCAAAACCAA